CCCCGUCCCGCCCGCCGCCCCAGCCGCCAGGGACAUGUCUAACCUCGGAGGCCGUAGGAACGGGCCUGUCGAAGUGCGCCUGACAGGGACAUGCCACCCCCGUUUUAGGAGAACUUGUAUUUGGUUUGAGAAGGAAUUGGAAUCACGGCGUUAUCCUACCUUCACCAUUUACCCCUGAUAAAUUGUCCACGUUUAUAUUUGGGAAUCAUAUUGACAGGUCAUGAAAAUGAGACCAAAAGAUCUCUGGAAGCGAUUAAUGAUAAAAUUUCAUGGAGAAGAAGGCCUUGACUACGGAGGGGUUGCCAGGUUCAUGUUGCUGAGGAGGCAGAGGGCUGAGUUCUUCCAUCCAUCGCCUUCAAGUGUCAGGCGGCUUCCGGUUGGACAAGAUGGCUACCCCAGUGGGCUUGUUUCCUCUCUGGUCUCUUUUUCUGUCUAAGACUCACUCCAUACCAGCCUGAGCUUGGGACCAUUGUUUUGCUCCUCUCAUCCUCCUACCCCCAGAGCUGACAGAUUUAGCAAAUAAAAUUUACAAGAUCCUGUUAAA
rnacentral:lncRNA from 1 species